ensembl:lncRNA
AGCACACGGCGCCCAGGAGCUGAUUUCUCCUCUGGGGAGGAUGCAGCAGCCCCUUGCUUUGCUGGGUUAGGCUGGGGGCUCUGGGAGGGGUGACCUUGCCUGUCCUGCUCAUCACCACCACUCAGCACCCACACAGCGCUAGCAUACAGCAGGCUCACAACAAUGCUUGUUGAGUGGAAACGUACGUUCCUGAGCCCUAGAGCGCAUCACAAUCUAUGCUGAAGUCACUUGGCCAGGAUUCAAUGCCAAGUCUGAGUCCAGAGAUCAGAACCCACUGCAUCUCAACAGGCUGUUUGCCAGAAGGAAGAAUCACUCAGCAUCACAAGAACAGAGACCCAGGGAAUCUCUCUUCAGAGGUCACAGAUGGACUUGAGUCCAGGAGCCCAAGGGAGAGUGGAAGGAAGCUGGGGAGCCCAGAGACUGCCCCUGACUCCUGUGUGAUGUCUAUGAGUAAACAGUGGCAAGGAGAUCAAACCAGUCCAUCCUAAAGAAAAUCAACCCUGAAUAUUCACUGUAAGGACUGAUGCUGAAGCUGAAGCUCCAACACUUUGGCCACCUGAUGCAAAGAGCCGAUUCAUUGGAAAAGACCCUGAGGCUGGGAAAGAUUGAAGGCAGGAGGAGAAGGAGACAACAGAGGAUGAGAUGGUUGGCUGGCAUCACUGACUCAUGGACAUGAAUUUGAGCAAACUCCAGAAAGUAGUGGAGGACAGGGAAGCCUGGCGUGCUGCAGUCUAUGGCGUCGCAAAGAGUCUGACACAACUGAGCGGCCGAACAACACCAAACAGAGGCUCAGCUGGGGGAUGACAUUUGCCAGCAGUCACCAGUCAGUGACAGAAUGGGGACUCGAACCCAGGGCUGUCUGACCUCUGCCUGGAGUUUCUAACCACUCGACCACACUGCCUAGGAAUGAGGUAUACCUCCCGGCAGUAAGAGUCUAAACCAGCAGGAGUUCCCAGACGGAGACAUGAUCUAGGUGCCACUGUCUGAAUGUCUGUGAGCAUUUCUAGUUGUUUCAAGAAAAGGCGACGUCAGCGGCACCAUUAAAGCCUGCUGUUCCCCGUGCCAUCCCUGCCAUCCCCACGUAUUAGAAUAAUGGCGUGAGAAAUAAACAGCCUUUAUGGACAAUUUUAUACAAAUGGCACGCACUGUUUGUUUCUCUUACCGUUACCAUGGCAGUGAUGGUCUCUGGAUAACUUCCUGUUUCUACAUGAUGGAAGGGAAUGGAAGAAAAUUGCUUGGGGAAAAUGUGCCAAACAAAGGCUGUUUCCUUUUUCUCAUGCCCCACCCCCUGGCAUGCACGGCAGCUGCACACUCUGAAUACCUAUGCCC